ensembl:rRNA 5S_rRNA 5S ribosomal RNA
GAUGACAGAAAAAUUCCUCCAGUUAAGUCUAUUCUCAACCUAUCAUAGAAGGUAAGCAGAGUCAGGCCUGGCCAGUACUUGGAUGGGAAACUCCUUGGAAUUCAAGGUGUUUUUGAUCA